UGGAGCCAUGUUCAACUUACUCUGUAGUGAUAUGGACCAAACGAUAAUGUCCAAAAUCGAAAAUCAUUUUGGCACAAAAUAGCAGAGGUUCCUGACUGGAGGAACGAGGAAGACUUUAAAGCCGCUCUAAAUCAGCCGGUUUAUUAUGAACGGAAUCCUUCUGUCAAAGUUGUGAUAUGGUGAAAACACAGUAGAAAAGAGAAACAAAUUGCUUGUGCUUUUAGUAUACUAUAGACUCGAUUAUUUGUGGCUGGUUGGGUUUAUUUUAUUACCUGCUCCCUUUUCUAUGGAGUUGCUAUAUGAGAGUUUUUGGACCGAGUAAAGAGGAAAUAAAUGAUUUGGAGUCUCAAAUUGGAUGCAAAGUGGGAGAAAUUAAUUAUGAAGAUCUGAUGAUUUCAUCCAAAUGCUUAGUAGGCGGUGUAUGCUUGUAACUUAGAUUUGUAAUUUGCCAAUGGAUUUUAUUGGGUCA